rnacentral:lncRNA from 1 species
ACGAACAACAUUUGUGAAGGGAACAAUAUAUUUUAAAUUUGAAAAUACAUAAUAUAUGAUUGAUUAGCAUAUAUAUCAUCCAAUAAUGUGUGAUCUUUAAUCUCUAAUCUAAUAAUUCAAACUCGUUAAUAAGACAACAUUUUCAUCCCUACCAAAAAUCAAAAGAUUUGACCACCAUCGUAUUGAAACAAGUUUGAACUAUUAGACCUAGAUGUAUAAAUUUAAAUACCAACCCCAUUUCAUGAAGGAAAAAAAAGGAACGAAUGACUGCCUAAUUAGGACAUUGAUAUCAAAAUGUUUGAUCAAUAACUCAAGCAAUCUGCGAGAGGGUGAUCCAAUCGUUGGUUCGUCAGUUGUGGAGCAGGUUGGGUCCCCCUGGCACCAGCCUGCGAGAAACCGAAUGAAACUUAUAAGAAGUACGGGUACUCUUAUUCUUGCUUCUCUCGACCUUCUUUAACUCUUCAAAGCUCUUCCUGAUCGUGGACACCCCUCGCAAGAACAUGUUCCGAUGUGGACCACCUUCGUCAUCGUUGAUCGGACGGCUUGUAGCGGCCGGGAGAAGAGCGGCCGAUACAAUGAGGAAAACCAGGAACAUAUGAGAGUUCUUGAUCAUCAUCGCCAUAGGAGCCGACCAAAACAGAAGAACCGUUGAGAAUGUUGGAAAGAGGUAGGGGUCUGUUUGGUGGGUUGUACUUUUG